rnacentral:rRNA from 1 species
CAUCGCCGCAGUAAUACGUAGGGUGCAAGCGUUAAUCGGAAUUACUGGGCGUAAAGCGUGCGCAGGCGGUUAUAUAAGACAGAUGUGAAAUCCCCGGGCUCAACCUGGGAACUGCAUUUGUGACUGUAUAGCUAGAGUACGGCAGAGGGGGAUGGAAUUCCGCGUGUAGCAGUGAAAUGCGUAGAUAUGCGGAGGAACACCGAUGGCGAAGGCAAUCCCCUGGGCCUGUACUGACGCUCAUGCACGAAAGCGUGGGGAGCGAACAGGAUUAGAUACCCCUGUAGUCCCUGUCUCUUAUACC